rnacentral:rRNA from 1 species
CUACGUGCAAAUCGUUUGCCAGAUCUGGGUAAAGGGGCGAAAGACUCAUCGAGCCAUCUAGUAGCUGGUUCCUACCGAAGUUUCUCUCAGGAUAGCUGGGGAUUUAUCGGAGUUACGCCAUGUAAAGCAAAUGAUCAGAAGUAUUGGGAUAUUCUUUAUCUCAACUUAUUCUCAAACUCUGAAUGGGCGUGGAGCUUAGCUUUCAUCUCUGAAGCUGAGACUCGAAUCCGAUCCCCAAGUGGGCCAUGCUUGGUAAGCAGGACUGGCGAUGCGGGAUGAACCGAAAGCGUAUUUAAGGAAUCCAAGUGUUCGUUCAUUAGACCCCAUGAAGGGUGUUGGUGCAUUUAGACAGCAGGGCGGUGGCCAUGGAAGUAGGAAUCCGCUAUGGAGUGUGUAACAACUCACCUGCCGAAUGCACUAGCCCCGAAAAUGGACGAUGCUUAAACGAACCUCCUAUAGUACGCCGGCACAUCGUAUAUACAAAAGCGAGUGCCGUGUAGGUAGGCGUAAGGCGCGAGCUGAAGGCCUGAAGCGUAAGCUAGGCUGAAUCGCGCACUUAGUGCAGAUCUUGGUUGUAGUAGCGAAUAUUCAAUCUGAGAACAUUGAAGACUGAAGUGGAGAAGGUUUCCUUGUGAACAGUACUUGGACAAGGGUUAGUCGGCCCUAACCCCAAAGGUAAGCCUCUAGUGCAAAGGCGCAUUUACGACCUGAGGGCUUGCUCUCAGGCCGGGUGCGCAAUGGGGGAAGGGUAAAUCGGCCCAAAAUUCCGAUACCCGGCUAUGGGGAUAUGAGCUGUGAAGCAUUUUCGCAAUGUUGGACCAAGCGUGAUCUGGCCCCGGGAGGGUUCUCUUUUCUCUUUGACCCAAUGGACGCCUGGAAUGACAUUUUACGUGCGGAGAUGCGUCUCAACCCGAGAGAAAGCGGCAUACUUUCGUGCCGUUGGGUACCCUGGUCACGCUAAAGCAAAGCUCCAACGGAGGUGUUACCCUUAUAGCCGGUCCGUACCAAUAACCGCAUCAGGUCUCCAAGGUGAAUAACCUCUGGUCAACGGAGUCAAGGUAGCUAAGGGAAGUCGGCAAAAUGGAUGCGUAACUUCGGGAGAAGCAUUGGCUCCAAGGGCUGGAUAGCAGGAGGCCGGUUUGCCCGUCGGUGUUCUGCCUGAUUUGCAGGAGCCGCUUCGGUGGUUCUUGUGAAGAAGGUUCAGUGUCUUCGGGUUGCUGGAAUCUCUCUGUUAUGGAGAACAGCUAACUUGGAACUGUCGCUGAGAAGGGGAAUCUAACUGUUUAAUUGAAACAUAGCUUUCAGAAGCUUGUGGUCGGACGUGGGCUCAAAGUGAAUCCUGCCCAGUGCUCUGAAUGUUAUUGCAAAGAGAUUUUAUCAAGCUCGGGUAAACGGCGGGAGUAACUAUGACUCUCUUAAGGUAGCCAAAUGCCUCGUCUUCUAAUUAAAGACGCGCAUGAAUGGACUAAUGAGAUUCCCACUGUCCCUAGUUACUGUCCGGCGAACCGACAGACAAGGGAACGGGCUUGUGAUCUUCAGCGGGGAAAGAAGACCCUGUUGAGUUUGACUCUAAUCUGACUCUGUGCAGUGACACUCGAGGUGUAGUAUAGGUGGGAGGUGCAAGCCAGCAAUGAAAUACCACUACUCGGGUCGUGACUCA